UGGCGCAGCAGGCGCGAAACCUUUACAAUGCACGCAAGUGUGAUAAGGGUAUCCUGAGUGCUUAUACUAUGUAUAGGCUUUUGCCAAGAGCAAAUAUCUUGGCGAAUAAGUGAUGGGUAAGACUGGUGCCAGCAGCCGCGGUAACACCAGCGUCACGAGUGGCAAUCGUAUUUAUUGGGUCUAAAGCGUCCGUAGCCGGUUUGACAAGUCUUUUGUGAAAUCGUUGUGCUUAACAUAACGGUGUGCAAAAGAUACUGUCGGACUUGGAACUGGGAUGAGUCAGAGGUAUUCUGUGGGGAGCGGUAAAAUGCUAUAAUCCUCAGAAGACCACCAGUGGCGAAAGCGUCUGACUAGAACAGAUUCGACGGUGAGGGACGAAAGCCAGGGGAGCAAAACGGAUUAGAUACCCGAGUAGUCCUGGCCAUAAACGCUGCGAGCAAGGUGUCGCGUAUCCUUCGUGGAUGCGCGGUGUCGAAGAGAAGUCGUUAAGCUCGCCACCUGGGAAGUAUGGUCGCAAGGCUGAAACUUAAAGGAAUUGGCGGGGGAGCACCACAAGGGGUGCGGCGUGCGGUUUAAUCUAAUUCAACACAGAGAAUCUCACCAGGAGCGACGGCAGGAUGAAGGUCAGUCUAAAGGGCUUACCAGACGAGCCGAGAGGUAGUGCAUGGCCGUCGUCAGCUCGUGCUGUAAGGUGUCCGGUUAAGUCCGGCAACGAGCGAGACCUGUAUCUACAAUUGCUAACGACUCUUUUAGGAGAAUCGAGCACAUUGUGGAGACUGCCUUGGAAACAAGGAGGAAGGCGCAGGCUACGGUAGGUCUGUAUGCUCCGAAUCUUCUGGGCUACACGCGCGCAACAAUGGUAAGGACAAUGUGAUGCGACUCUGAAAAGAGAAGCUAAUCCUCUAAACCUUAUCCUAGUUCAGAUUGAGGAUUGUAAUUCAUCCUCAUGACGAUGGAAUCCCUAGUAAUCAGACGUCAUCAGCGUCUGGUGAAUAUGUCCCUGCUCCUUGCACGAAUUCGCCGA
rnacentral:rRNA from 1 species